ACGAACGCUGGCGGCAUGCCUAACACAUGCAAGUCGCACGAGACCUUCGGGUCUAGUGGCGCACGGGUGCGUAACGCGUGGGAACCUGCCCUUAGGUUCGGAAUAACUCCCCGAAAGGGGUGCUAAUACCGGAUAAUGUCUUCGGACCAAAGAUUUAUCGCCUUUGGAUGGGCCCGCGUUGGAUUAGCUAGUUGGUAGGGUAAAAGCCUACCAAGGCGACGAUCCAUAGCUGGUCUGAGAGGAUGAUCAGUCACACUGGGACUGAGACACGGCCCAGACUCCUACGGGAGGCAGCAGUGGGGAAUAUUGGACAAUGGGCGAAAGCCUGAUCCAGCAAUGCCGCGUGAGUGAUGAAGGCCUUAGGGUUGUAAAGCUCUUUUACCCGGGAUGAUAAUGACAGUACCGGGAGAAUAAGCUCCGGCUAACUCCGUG
rnacentral:rRNA from 1 species